UACGGAGGGUGCAAGCGUUGUCCGGAAUCACUGGGCGUAAAGGGCGCGUAGGCGGCUCAUGAAGUCAGAUGUGAAAGCCCCGGGCUCAACCUGGGAAUGGCAUUUGAUACUCGAGGGCUUGAGUACGGGAGAGGAGAGUGGAAUUCCCAGUGUAGAGGUGAAAUUCGUAGAUAUUGGGAAGAACACCGGUGGCGGAGGCGGCGACCUGGUCCGAUACUGACGCUGAGGCGCGAAAGCGUGGGGAGCAAACAGG
rnacentral:rRNA from 1 species